rnacentral:lncRNA from 1 species
AUGGGAUAUGGAUAUAUGUAUCCCUCAGACCUGAGGCUACCUCGGUGACUUGCAAGCAACUCACUGUGCUUUGGUGUCAGACUACUCAAAUUUUUAAUUCGAUGACAGAAGAUUUUUGGGUACAGUCAAAUACUUGUGAAGUCUGAGUGUGAGUCAAGAUGGGAUUGAUUGCUUCAAGUAAAAUUGGAGAUGAUGCAUCAUUGUGUUUCAAUUCAGUAAAACUUUGGCCAA